rnacentral:rRNA from 1 species
GACGAACGCUGGCGGCGUGCUUAACACAUGCAAGUCGAACGGAAAGGCCCUGCUUUUGUGGGGUGCUCGAGUGGCGAACGGGUGAGUAACACGUGAGUAACCUGCCCUUGACUUUGGGAUGACUUCAGGAAACUGGGGCUAAUACCGGAUAGGAGCUCCUGCUGCAUGGUGGGGGUUGGAAAGUUUCGGCGGUUGGGGAUGUACUCGCGGCUUAUCAGCUUGUUGGUGGGGUAGUGGCUUACCAAGGCUUUGACGGGUAGCCGGCCUGAGAGGGUGACCGGCCACAUUGGGACUGAGAUACGGCCCAGACUCCUACGGGAGGCAGCAGUGGGGAAUAUUGCACAAUGGGCGGAAGCCUGAUGCAGCAACGCCGCGUGCGGGAUGACGGCCUUCGGGUUGUAAACCGCUUUCGCCUGUGACGAAGCGUGAGUGACGGUAAUGGGUAAAGAAGCACCGGCUAACUACGUG